rnacentral:lncRNA from 1 species
UUUGCUUCUAGCAGUUUUGAGUUGUUCUAUAAAUUGGAUAUUAGAAAUUCUUUCUUGAUCUCGAUUGAUAUCUAUAGAUAUCCCAUAAAACUUUUUAGCUAAGGUGGUGGCUAAAUUCCUAUUUUUUAUGUCUCUUUUAUGUUCAGUUAUUCUUCAGCUCAGGCUUUUUAUAGUGCUACUGAUGUAUACUUUUCUGCCAAGUUCGGUGUUGAGUGUUUGGAUCAGAUGUACAGCUCCGGCCAAAAUGUUUGUCACCUAAGCGGAAGAUGUUCGGCUUCCUUACAAUACUUACAAACCAAGGAUAUUAAUCAGUACAGGGGCGAAUUCGAGUUUGCGGAGCUUUGGACAGAUCGGAAGAGCGU